rnacentral:rRNA from 1 species
AACGAACGCUGGCGGCAGGCUUAACACAUGCAAGUCGAACGCCCCGCAAGGGGAGUGGCAGACGGGUGAGUAACACGUGGGAACCUUCCUCGUUGUACGGAACAACUCAGGGAAACUUGAGCUAAUACCGUAUACGUCCGAGAGGAGAAAGAUUUAGCGCAAUGACACGGGCCCGCGUCGGAUUAGCUAGUUGGUGGGGUAACGGCCUACCAAGGCAACGAUCCGUAGCUGAUCUGAGAGGAUGAUCAGCCACACUGGGACUGAGACACGGCCCAGACUCCUACGGGAGGCAGCAGUGGGGAAUCUUGGACAAUGGGCGCAAGCCUGAUCCAGCCAUGCCGCGUGAGUGAAGAAGGCCUUCGGGUUGUAAAGCUCUUUUGUCAGGGACGAUAAUGACGGUACCUGAAGAAUAAGCCCCGGCAAACUUCGUGCCAGCCGCCGCCGUAAAAC